UCGUCGUUACAGUGAAGGGCUAUCAACAUUUGAAACAAUAACAAACAGUCAACAGCAAAUGGAAUGUAAAUGUCUUCUGAGGAUGCAGAAGAUCUUUUACAUGAUUCAGUUAUUGAAUUAUUUGACUUAUCUGAUUAUUCUUUAACUUUGCCAAACGAUGCUAAAGAAAGAUAUGUUGCUAAGCUUAAUGAAGUACAGUGUGACUGUCCUUACGUCAUAGAAAAUGAGUAUUAUUUGUAAGUUUUAAUGCCUUGAACUCAAAAAACAGCCCAUCUCCAAAAAUUAUCUCAUAAGACUUGCAGCUCUUAUAAUUAUUCAUAUCGUUAGCUGUAUAAAACUGUUUUCUGUAGACUAGAUAGUUCCAAACAUCUCCAAAUUCAACUGAUGGUAAUAUUGUUUCUAGCUCUUGUGUACUGGAAGUCCAAUACUCAUUUUCUGUGACGUAAGGACAGUCACACUGUACUUCAUUAAGCUUAGCAACAUAUCUUUCUUUAGCAUCGUUUGGCAAAGUUGAAGAAUAAUCAGAUAAGUCAAAUAAUUCAAUAACUGAAUCAUGUAAAAGAUCUUCUGCAUCCUCAGAAGACAUUUACAUUCCUAAUUAUACCAAGAAAUUUAAGUUUUAUAAGAAAAUUACACAUUUUUUAAAGUUAC